AACUCCGAUUUUUUUUUUUUUUUACCAAACGAAAGUGUUAGCCAAGUCACGUGCUGUGUGGCCUGCACGCGCCAAGUCUUUG